rnacentral:lncRNA from 1 species
UGUGGAAAUCUCACCUGAGCUGUUGCCGGAGCCCCAGUACAACAGAACUAGCAGGCUUGGAAAUAAAAUGUCUGGCUCCAUUGCAUUCUCAGCAACUCUUGGCUCAAAGGAUGCAGCUCAUUACAGAGAAAGGCAGAAAGGCAGAGACCUGUCCACCAGGGUGAGAUGAGGAAUAAUUGAGCUAAGCACGCUGAGCCAACAAUAAACUGGAGCAACGGCAACCGCAGAAAACAUUUUUGAGCGAGGCAUCCGUCCAGGAAACAGGAAUCAACAGACAUGAGAAGGGAGAGGAAAAAAAAGUCACAGAAGCCUGAGUAUGGACCUGGAAUGACCCACACAAGCAGAGGCGAGAGAGUGAGAUGCUGAUCAAUGUGGGGAGAAACAUUCCACGAAGAUCUAGAAGGGAGAGGAGAGGGAAGUAGGACUCACCAGGUGACCAUGGGUCCUGCUGCAGUCUGGGGUGGGAAGACCCCAGACUCCUCCCAAUAAGUAAAAAGGUGGUUUAGCAUAAGUGAGGUCCUGCCCUGGGGCUGUUUGAGGUAACUGUCAGAUAUUUAAGGUGGGAGCAGAAAGCUAGAGUACAUAGUAGACUAGCAGCUGUACAUAUUCUUAAUUUGAGUGUUCAUUUCCUAUGUGGUCCUUUUUCUUUCUUUCUGGGUGGCCCAGGAACACUGAUUAUCCCAACGCCUAUCCUGACUUCUGUAUAGUCCUUAAUCCUGUAAAAUAUGUAUUCAUGUUGAUGAUCCCAAGUCUUGGCAAGAUGUUCUCCUGCUGAAUAAAUACAUGAAGAUGAAAACAAUGGCAGUACUG